rnacentral:rRNA from 2 species
GUCGACGAACUCUGGUAUUGAUUGGUGCUUGCAUCAUGAUUUACAUUUGAGUGAGUGGCGAACUGGUGAGUAACACGUGGGAAACCUGCCCAGAAGCGGGGGAUAACACCUGGAAACAGAUGCUAAUACCGCAUAACAACUUGGACCGCAUGGUCCGAGUUUGAAAGAUGGCUUCGGCUAUCACUUUUGGAUGGUCCCGCGGCGUAUUAGCUAGAUGGUGGGGUAACGGCUCACCAUGGCAAUGAUACGUAGCCGACCUGAGAGGGUAAUCGGCCACAUUGGGACUGAGACACGGCCCAAACUCCUACGGGAGGCAGCAGUAGGGAAUCUUCCACAAUGGACGAAAGUCUGAUGGAGCAACGCCGCGUGAGUGAAGAAGGGUUUCGGCUCGUAAAACUCUGUUGUUAAAGAAGAACAUAUCUGAGAGUAACUGUUCAGGUAUUGACGGUAUUUAACCAGAAAGCCACGGCUAACUACGUGCCAGCAGCCGCGGUAAUACGUAGGUGGCAAGCGUUGUCCGGAUUUAUUGGGCGUAAAGCGAGCGCAGGCGGUUUUUUAAGUCUGAUGUGAAAGCCUUCGGCUCAACCGAAGAAGUGCAUCGGAAACUGGGAAACUUGAGUGCAGAAGAGGACAGUGGAACUCCAUGUGUAGCGGUGAAAUGCGUAGAUAUAUGGAAGAACACCAGUGGCGAAGGCGGCUGUCUGGUCUGUAACUGACGCUGAGGCUCGAAAGUAUGGGUAGCAAACAGGAUUAGAUACCCUGGUAGUCCAUACCGUAAACGAUGAAUGCUAAGUGUUGGAGGGUUUCCGCCCUUCAGUGCUGCAGCUAACGCAUUAAGCAUUCCGCCUGGGGAGUACGGCCGCAAGGCUGAAACUCAAAGGAAUUGACGGGGGCCCGCACAAGCGGUGGAGCAUGUGGUUUAAUUCGAAGCUACGCGAAGAACCUUACCAGGUCUUGACAUACUAUGCAAAUCUAAGAGAUUAGACGUUCCCUUCGGGGACAUGGAUACAGGUGGUGCAUGGUUGUCGUCAGCUCGUGUCGUGAGAUGUUGGGUUAAGUCCCGCAACGAGCGCAACCCUUAUUAUCAGUUGCCAGCAUUAAGUUGGGCACUCUGGUGAGACUGCCGGUGACAAACCGGAGGAAGGUGGGGAUGACGUCAAAUCAUCAUGCCCCUUAUGACCUGGGCUACACACGUGCUACAAUGGAUGGUACAACGAGUUGCGAACUCGCGAGAGUAAGCUAAUCUCUUAAAGCCAUUCUCAGUUCGGAUUGUAGGCUGCAACUCGCCUACAUGAAGUCGGAAUCGCUAGUAAUCGCGGAUCAGCAUGCCGCGGUGAAUACGUUCCCGGGCCUUGUACACACCGCCCGUCACACCAUGAGAGUUUGUAACACCCAAAGUCGGUGGGGUAACCUUUUAGGAACCAGCCGCCUAAG